rnacentral:rRNA from 1 species
AACGUAGGGGGCCAGCGUUGUCCGGAAUUACUGGGCGUAAAGAGCGCGUAGGCGGCUCUGCAAGCGGAAAGUGCAAUCCCGAGGCUCAACCUCGGAACUGCUUUCCGAACUGCCGGGCUAGAGUGCGGGAGAGGGUAGUGGAAUUCCUGGUGUAGCGGUGGAAUGCGUAAAUAUCAGGAGGAACACCGGUGGCGAAGGCUGCUACCUGGAACGCAACUGACGCUGAGGCGCGAAAGCUAGGGGAGCGAACGGGAUUAGAUACCCCCGUA